GCUGCGCAGGCAGGGCGGGCAGGGCUGCCCCGAGGCCGUGCCCGGGGGGAUAGGCAGAGGGAGCCACGGGCUCGGUCCAGCUCGGUGCAUCUACGCCCGAGGAAGGAGGGGUGCUCCCAGCACAGCCCGGUGCCGGGAUGCAGACGCGCCUGCUCAGGGUGGUGGGCUGGAGCUCGGCAGCCGUGCUGGGAGUGCUGGGGGUGGCCGUCUUCCUCCUGGUCCUGACCCUGGCGAAGGAUGCUGCCCUUCCUACGAGGAACAAAUACGGUCUGGUGUUUGACGCUGGCUCCACACACACGGCUCUCUACAUCUACCAGUGGCCCACAGACAAGGAGAACGGCACUGGCAUCGUCUCCCAGGUGGAGGCCUGCACUGUAUCUGGACCUGGCAUCUCCAGCUACGCAGACAACCCCGCUGGGGCUGGAGCCAGCCUGAAGCCCUGCCUGGACAAGGCCAUGAAGAUCAUCCCGGCAGAGCAGCAGCGGGAGACCCCCACCUACCUGGGGGCCACAGCGGGCAUGCGGCUGCUGAGGGAGCAGAACAGCACCAAGGCCGAGCGGGUCUUCGCCGAGGUUGCCAAGGCCAUUGGCGAGUACCCUGUGGACUUCCGCGGAGCUCGGAUCCUCACGGGGAACGAGGAGGGCUCCUUCGGCUGGAUCACCGUCAACUACCUGCUGGAGACGCUCGUCAAGUUUUCCUUUGCAGAGAAAUGGGAACAUCCACGGGACACCGAGGUUCUCGGAGCUCUGGACCUUGGAGGUGCCUCAACACAAAUAACCUUCCAGCCUGAAGUCACCAUUGAGGACAAGAACACGUCUGUCUUCUUCAGGCUGUACGGCACCAACUACUCGCUCUACACCCACAGCUACCUCUGCUACGGGCAGACGCAGGCCUUGAAGAUGCUGCUGGCAGCUCUCCACCAGGGCAGCCCGUCUCCCCAGCAGAUAUCACACCCCUGCUACCCCAAGGGAUACCGGGAGAACAUCACCACGGCAGACCUCUACAACAGUCCCUGUGUCCGUGCACCAAGCACACCCAGCCCUGCACAGGUCCUCACGGUGACGGGGACAGGGGACCCACCAGCGUGCAGCACUGCCAUCCAGAAACUCUUCAACUUCAGCUGUGGGGCCAACAGGACGUGCGGGUUCAAUGGGGUUUAUCAGCCGCCUGUGCGGGGACAGUUCUUUGCCUUUUCGGGGCUUUAUCACAACUUUCACUUUCUGAACCUGACUGGAGGGCAGUCCCUGACCUCGGUCAAUGCCACCAUUGGGCAGUUCUGCACCAGCAGCUGGGAGAAGGUGAGAUCCUGCUUAGGAGAUGCCAGCCCCUGCCCACGUUUCACCUGGGUGCUGGGCAGCCUGAGGGCUCAUCUGCAGCCCAUCCUCUGCUGCGCAGACGGCAGCUGGAGGGAGCUGGGAGGAGCACAAAGAUCUCUGGACAGGGAGAGAGAUGGGAGAGCAGCCUGCAGCCUCCCAGGUCCUCCUUUCUCCCCAGGCACAGGCAUUCCCAGGUCUUUGCUCCCAGCUGCACUGCGGGGCUCUUCCCUGCAGUGUGGGUGCACCAAGCACUGCUCUGUGCUGGCGGCCCUCCCCAGCAAUUCCACCUCUGCAGGUGCAGAAGGAGUUCCCCACCAUGGACAGGACCCACCUCCGUGAUGCCUGCGCAGCCAGUUCCUACACCCUCACCCUUCUCCUGCAAGGCUACAAAUUCAACCACACGACAUGGCUUAACAUCCACUUCGUCCCGCAGGUCGCUAAUGUAGACAUGGGCUGGACUCUGGGCUACAUGCUCAAUCUCACCAACAUGAUUCCCUCAGAGACUCCCCAGAGAGUCGUAGGGCUCCAGAGAAGCAACUGGAUAGCAG